GCUGCCUCUGGUCCAGUGAGUCCGCCUGUUUCCGUCGUUGUCCUCAAAUCUGAACUUAAAACCGAAAGCCAGGUUUUCCGUCCCUGCUGUUGAUGUUUGGUCCUGCUGCGACCCUGCUUCGCCUCAUCAAGGUAAUCAGACUGACAUUAAUGCAGGCUCCAAAAGAGACACCUCGUCAUCAGGAAUUUUCCUCAUUGGCACCGAAAAUGCCAGGCUGCACACCUCUGACUGCGUGGCCCCCACAUCUAUUAACCUUAUUGAUUUGGAGCCCUGCUGAGCCCCUCCAGAGCUCCCGCCCCCCUGCUGCUGGACUGAAGUGGAUCAAUCCUGCGCCGGGGGCCACAACUCGAUAACAACCCAGUGUCAGAGACUACUGUUUACAACCUGAAAUGAAUACACACAUAGAUGCUGCUCUGUAUAUUUACUUCUCAUCUAUGAACACUUUUGCGUCAGAAGUUUUAAUAAUUGUUAAUUAUAUCUGAAUAAUUGCUGAAUUACAGGAAGCUGACUACUAGUGUGCACCCAAGUGCAGUGUUAUCAUUUUAAAUCAAACUAAAUGAAUACAAAUGUCAAAAUAAAACAUUGAAUAUGGA